GAUACCGCCCUAGUUCUAACCAUAAACGAUGCCAACCAGCGAUCCGCCUGGGUUCCUCAAAUGACUCGGCGGGCAGCUUCCGGGAAACCAAAGUGUUUGGGUUCCGGGGGAAGUAUGGUUGCAAAGCUGAAACUUAAAGGAAUUGACGGAAGGGCACCACCAGGAGUGGAGCCUGCGGCUUAAUUUGACUCAACACGGGAAAACUGACCCGGUCCGGACACUGGAAGGAUUGACAGAUUAAGAGCUCUUUCUUGAUUCAGUGGGUGGUGGUGCAUGGCCGUUCUUAGUUGGUGGAGCGAUUUGUCUGGUUAAUUCCGAUAACGAACGAGACUCUAGCCUACUAAAUAGGCGUUCCGAUCACUUCAGUCGGACGUUCUUCUUAGAGGGACAAGCGGCGUUUAGCCGCACGAGACAGAGCAAUAACAGGUCUGUGAUGCCCUUAGAUGUCCGGGGCCGCACGCGCGCUACACUGAAGGAAUCAGCGUGUGCUUUCCCUGUCCGGUAGGACUGGGUAACCCGUUAAACCUCCUUCGUGAUAGGGAUAGGGGCUUGUAAUUGUUCCCCUUGAACGAGGAAUUCCCAGUAAGCAUGAGUCAUAAGCUCGUGUUGAUUACGUCCCUGCCCUUUGUACACACCGCCCGUCGCUACUACCGAU
rnacentral:rRNA from 1 species